GGGACUAUAGUUAAAAAUAACAUUUGGGUUGCAUUCAAAAAGUGCUGCAUAGCAGCUAGCCUCA
rnacentral:tRNA from 2 species